GGAAUAUUGGGCAAUGGACGGAAGUCUGACCCAGCCAUGCCGCGUGCGGGAGGGAGGCCCUACGGGUCGUAAACCGCUUUGGCAGGGGGCUACAGGCGGCCACGCGUGGCCGCGAGAAGGUACCCUGAGAACAAGCAUCGGCUAACUCCGUGCCAGCAGCCGCGGUAAUACGGAGGAUGCGAGCGUUAUCCGGAUUCAUUGGGUUUAAAGGGUGCGCAGGCGUGCCGUUAAGUCAGUGGUGAAAAAUACGUGCUCAACAUGUAGCGUGCCAUGGAUACUGGCGGUGUAGUAUUCUGGAGGCGUGGCCGGAAUGUGGUGUGUAGCGGUGAAAUGCAUAGAUAUGCCACAGAACGCCGAUCGUGAAGACAGGUCACGAACCAGCGAUAGACGCUCAAGCACGAAAGCGUGGGGAUCAAACA
rnacentral:rRNA from 1 species